rnacentral:tRNA from 1 species
CCGCGCUGUGGACUUUCUCUACCCUCGGCUGGCCGGAAAACACCGACGCCCUGCGUCAGUUCCACCCGACCAGCGUGAUGGUUUCCG